rnacentral:rRNA from 1 species
GACGAACGCUGGCGGCGUGCUUAACACAUGCAAGUCGAGCGGAGCGGCGAACGGGUGAGUAACGCGUGAGUAACUGCCCCCCUCCCUGGGAUAACAGUUGGAAACGGCUGCUAAUACCGGAUAGUGGGGGAUGACUCGCGCACUAUCCGCUUGUUGGUGGGGUAGUGGCCGACCGAGGCGACGACGGGUAGCCGGCCUGAGAGGGCGACCGGCCUCAUUGGGCUGAGGUACGGCCCAGACUCCUACGGGAGGCAGCAGUGGGGAAUAGUGCACAAUGGGGGAAACCCUGAGGCAGCAACGCCGCGGGCGGAAUGAAGGCCUACGGGUUGUAAACCGCUUUCAGCCAUGACGCGGUAGUGGCAGAAGAAGCACCGGCUAACUACGUGCCAGCAGCCGCGGUAAUAC